rnacentral:rRNA from 1 species
GGUGAACGCUAGCGGAAGGCUUAAUACAUGCAAGUCGAGCGGUAGGUGGCUUCGGCCAUUGAGAGCGGCGCACGGGUGAGUAACGCGUACAUGACCUGCCUGUCAGAAGGGGAUAGCCCUGGGAAACUGGGAUUAAUACCCUAUGGUAUUGAUAUUAUGAAUGAUAUCAAUUAAAGUUGAGGCGCUGACAGAUGGAUGUGCGUCUGAUUAGCUAGUUGGUAGGGUAACGGCCUACCAAGGCGACGAUCAGUAGGGGGCGUGAGAGCGUGGUCCCCCCANACGGGUACUGAGACACGGACCCGACUCCUACGGGAGGCAGCAGUAAGGAAUAUUGGUCAAUGCCCGCAAGGGUGAACCAGCCAUUCCGCGUGGAGGAUGAAGGCCCUAUGGGUUGUAAACUUCUUUUAGAUGGGAAGAAAAUGCUAGAUGUAUCUGGUACUGACGGUACCAUCAGAAUAAGCACCGGCUAACUCCGUGCCAGCAGCCGCGGU